ACAUGCAGAGAACUUUCCAGAGAUGGAUUGGUGCCUUCGGGAACUCUGACACAGGUGCUGCAUGGCUGUCGUCAGCUCGUGUCGUGAGAUGUUGGGUUAAGUCCGUAACGAGCGCAACCCUUGUCCUUAGUUACCAGCACGUUAUGGUGGGCACUCUAAGGAGACUGCCGGUGACAAACCGGAGGAAGGUGGGGAUGACGUCAAGUCAUCACGGCCCUUACGGCCUGGGCUACACACGUGCUACAAUGGUCGGUACAAAGGGUUGCCAAGCCGCGAGGUGGAGCUAAUCCCAUAAAACCGAUCGUAGUCCGGAUCGCAGUCUGCAACUCGACUGCGUGAAGUCGGAAUCGCUAGUAAUCGUGAAUCAGAAUGUCACGGUGAAUACGUUCCCGGGCCUU
rnacentral:rRNA from 1 species